CACUUGUUCUUUUUUUUUUUUUCUUCUUUCUUUUUUUCUUUUUUCAGAAUUUGUCUGAAAAUGACUGAAGUGUCAGGGAAUUGUGGUUUUAGAUGAGGUCAUUGUUGCGGACAUCUGGAACAGAAUGUCAUCACCGCAUUUAGGCAACACAACAGCUCAAUUUUAUUUCAGUUCUGAUUUCAAGUCCACAACAUCCCAAGAAAAGCAUUGGCUCCAUGAUCUAGUCUGUUUAGGCACAUGAUAAUGUUGAAAGACUGGCAAAACAAAACAAAAACCAGUUAGACUCAUGCUACUUCAGGGAUCUUCAAAGGAGGUGGAAGCAGUAGGGAUGAUAAAAAACAACAACAACAACAAGUACUUGUCAACAGUUACGACAUCUUGUCCAGAGGCACUCCGGCUGGAUUUACACCAACACUGCUACCUUUGGCUUCUGGCUUACCUGGUCUUCACAAAGCUGUGCGGAAGCCCUCCAUCUCACACAUUAUGCCAGCAGUUUCCACAAUUUCCAGCAAUAUUGACAGCGAUUCAGAAGAGAUCCAAGCUUCGCAGCACUGCAGGUGAAUGUGAGUGCUGGCCUGGCCUGACUGCCCUCCUCACAGCUGCCUCCUCACAGCGACUGGCAGUGAGCUGCUCUUCCUCGGGUACAUGCUGGUGGCACCCAGUGGGACUUCGCAGGGGUCUGUAGGGGUCACGCUGCCAGCAGGAAUGGAGGGGAAGGAGAGACAAAAAGCUAGGAGAGACCCUGAAGAGCUGGACAUGCAUCAGCUAAUUCGGGUUGGGGGUUGUGUGGUGGCUGGUGGUGCUUGUGGGAGUGCAUUAACCCCCUCUCAGAAGGAGUAGCAGCCAGCUUUGCUUGCUAACUUUGGCGAAGGAGAAGGAAAGGACAACUUCUAGUUCUGCACUGGCCUCCAGCUGGCUCUGUGGUAAUCAGCCCUCAAGCACUCGACAAUAAAAUGCCAUCUUGCUGUCCCC